CCUACGGGAGGCAGCAGUCGAGAAUCAUUCACAAUGUGGGAAACCCUGAUGGUGCGACGCCGCGUGGGGGAAUGAAGGUCUUCGGAUUGUAAACCCCUGUCAUGUGGGAGCAAAUUAAAAAGAUAGUACCACAAGAGGAAGAGACGGCUAACUCUGUGCCAGCAGCCGCGGUAAUACAGAGGUCUCAAGCGUUGUUCGGAAUCACUGGGCGUAAAGCGUGCGUAGGCUGUUUCGUAAGUCGUGUGUGAAAGGCGCGGGCUCAACCCGCGGACGGCACAUGAUACUGCGAGACUAGAGUAGUGGAGGGGGAACCGGAAUUCUCGGUGUAGCAGUGAAAUGCGUAGAUAUCGAGAGGAACACUCGUGGCGAAGGCGGGUUCCUGGACAUUAACUGACGCUGAGGCACGAAGGCCAGGGGAGCGAAAGGGAUUAGAUACCCGGGUAGUC
rnacentral:rRNA from 1 species